rnacentral:lncRNA from 1 species
CACGACUGCACCCUGAGACAAAGUCAGUGUUUGUCACAACGUUCACGUUGAACCUGGCAGGAAGACAGGCUGAGCCACGAAAGGUGCCCACUGGGCUGUCGUCCUCCUUCACUGCUUUCAGGAUCACGGCACUGACUGAAUCGUUCACGGGGACCGUCACUGGGGGAAAGGGUAUGAGGAAGCAGUUAGCGUGAGCCAAGUGAAACCAAGGAGGUGUGUGAGCAAGGGAAGCCACGGAGUGCGGACGGACGGCAUGCACCCGCUUCUGUAAAACAAAGUACAGAGAUCCUGACUGGGAACCCAGGGUGCCACAGGCCUGUGACUCCAGGUGAGCGAUGUAGGAGCGUGAGA